CUCUCCUCUCUUUGAUAUCCUCACCCCUCUCUUUUUCUCUCUUCUUCUCCCUCCGUCCCUCACUCUCUUUCUCUUUCUCUUCCUCUCUCUCUCUUUCUCUCCUCUACGCGCAACACGCAGCCUAGGAGGAGGCGCCGAGAGCGGGCGGCCGGCGGCCCCGAGCAGUGGGCGGCGGGCGGUGUGGCCGUGGAGCUGGCGUUGGGAGUGGGCGGCGGGUGGUGUCGAGCAGCGGUCGGUGGGCGGCGCCGCGACGAGGACGAGGCGGCAAGCGCCACGGCGAGGAGGAGGCGCCGGGAGCGGGCGGCGGGCGGCAGGCGCCGCGGCCGAGCAGCGGGCGCCGGGCCGCAGCAACAAGGAGCGGCGCCGCCCCGCGAUGCGGACUCCGGCGGCGGCGGUGGGCGAGGGCCAUGAUGGGGACGGGCGUGGGCACUCCCCCACCUGAAUCCGCCGCCGGCUACCUUCCCCCGUCCCAAUCUACCGGCGGCGGCCCUCCCCCACCCUGAUCUACGGGCCGCCGCCCUCCCUCGCCCCGAUCUUCCUCUGUCUCCUGAAGCGGUGCCUCCCGCUGGCUUCCGUCGUCAAGCUCGGUGGCGGCCAUAUCCGACCGCCAUGAGCUCGUCGGUAGGCCGAUCCAGCUGCCAUCAGCAGCACCAGUAUACCCUGGGACGAUCCGGCCACCAUCAACAACACCAACAUCAUCUUAGCUUUCUUUGAUGGAUGUGAAGCAAAUUAAGUAUGAAGACGUGCCACCCACUGCAGUUGAUCUUUUCAAGGAGUGCCUUUGCUGCAACAAGAUCGGUUUUUGUGAUGCACCAAACUUGUUUAUUUUGCUAUUGUCAAUGCACUUGUAUAAGAACCUGUUUUGAUCACUGAGUUUUGGUCAGUGAACCUGCAUGUAUGUAUGUUAUUGGGCUUGUGGUAUAUUGGAUGUUAACUGGUCUUGUAUAACCUUUGUGAUAUAUGGGCCUACUAGGCCGUUAUUUCGUAUAAUGCUUGGGCCUAUAUGGGCUUUAGAAA